GCUUCCCUACGGGGCGCAGCAGUGGGGAAUAUUGCACAAUGGGGGAAACCCUGAUGCAGCGGCGCCGCGUGAGUGAGGAAGUAUUUCGGUAUGUAAAGCUCCAUCAGCAGGGAAGAAAAAAUGACGGUACCUGACUAAGAAGCACCGGCUAAAUACGUGCCAGCAGCCGCGGUAAUACGUAUGGUGCAAGCGUUAUCCGGAUUUACUGGGUGUAAAGGGAGCGCAGGCGGUACGGCAAGUCUGAUGUGAAAGCCCGGGGCUCAACCCUGGUACUGCAUUGGAAACUACCGGACUGGAGUGUCGGG
rnacentral:rRNA from 1 species